UCAACUCUAUUCACUUUUGAUAAUUUUGCUAUGCUCUUGCAUUAAGCAACUUCAUUUUUAUGCAUUUUUUUGUUAAUCAAAAUGGCAAUGGAGUAAACUGGCUCACCGCCUCAGCCUUUGCUACUCCAUCAUAUGAGGGCUGAUCGGGGUCUCCCAGCUGAUAUGGUUCGAGGCUAUGGACAAAAUACCACUAAGGGCCUAAGCUUCACCAACUAUUAUCAUUCUCAUCAUGUCCCCAUUUGGAAUGAAUGAGCCUCUUUGAAUGAAUGUUUGAGAAGCAUAAAUUAAUUUUCAAGAGCAUUUUUUGCGUGUUUAAGAUAGACUAGGAUGAUCCCCUGAAGCUUGGCUCAAGUGGCAAUUUGUUGGGAUGGGGCUUGGGAAGGUUCCACAUUGGGAUCCAUGUAACAGCAAA